UGGGGAAUUUUGGACAAUGGGGGCAACCCUGAUCCAGCCAUGCCGCGUGAGUGAAGAAGGCCUUCGGGUUGUAAAGCUCUUUCAGGUGGAAAGAAAUCGCAUCUUUUAAUACAGGGUGUGGAUGACGGUACCAUCAGAAGAAGCACCGGCUAACUACGUGCCAGCAGCCGCGGUAAUACGUAGGGUGCGAGCGUUAAUCGGAAUUACUGGGCGUAAAGCGUGCGCAGGCGGUUAUGUAAGACAGAUGUGAAAUCCCCGGGCUCAACCUGGGAACUGCGUUUGUGACUGCAUAACUAGAGUACGGCAGAGGGAGGUGGAAUUCCGCGUGUAGCAGUGAAAUGCGUAGAGAUGCGGAGGAACACCGAUGGCGAAGGCAGCCUCCUGGGCCAGUACUGACGCUCAUGCACGAAAGCGUGGGGAGCAAACA
rnacentral:rRNA from 1 species